AGCGCGAUCUUAGGAGUGUACAUCUGAGAGGCAGCAACUGCGGAAACGCGGCUGCGGGCCCAGGAGGAGCUCGGGAGGCGCCUGUGGCUGCAGCUGCAUAGUGGAGCGCAAGCGCCCUGUGUGCCUGUGGAAGCCUUGGUGGCCUUCCCGAGGCUGCGGUUUUGCUGUCGUUGAGUGAGUUUGAUAGCUUGUGAGGCUAAGUUACUGUCGUGGCGGCCGUGCCUUGGAGCAUAUGAUGGCUGGAUGAGAGCUUGCUGGAGGAGAUCGGCGAGUCUUGGCGCUGGAGCACUACCUUCCCAGGACUCUGCUCUUACCCCGAAAGGAUGACCCAGAAGAAGAGGGAACAAUUGGGCUCCCAACAUUCUGUUUAGAGGUGAGCUGGGAUUUCUUUUUCCUCUCUGAAAGGCCCCCUCAGUUCUUAGGGAGAGAGGGUAUUAUCGUCCCUGCCCUGCAGUGUCUCUGCCAAGCCAGUUUCCUUCAGGAGCUUGAGCCUCAGACUCCUCAUAGAUUUCCCAUCUUGGAAGAAGAUGGAACCCAUAGGACACCUUUCUUCAGUUUUCUCUUCUCCACCCACCAUUUAGUCAUUCAUCACACCUUUGAGAUCUACUCUGUGCCUCAACGUUCUCUACUAUGUGGGACCCAGUCCCGAGCAUGAGGGAACUUAGGGACUGUUGGGGGAGAGAGAACAGGACAAGAUCUGAGUAUGAAAUGAUGAAAUAAUAAGAAACUGCAUGAUUAACUACCCAUAUCAGAAGUUUAAACAGGAAGUACUCUGGGGAAAAAACAGAAGGAGAAAUUUAAGCUGCAUUUGGAGAUGUAGAAAUGACAGGGUGUUUCCAGGCUAGAGGAGAGUAUGACAAAGGCUCAGGGACAGAAACGAACAGAUUUUCCAAGGACUAAUGAGAAGAUAGGCUGGAGUAGAAGGUGUGUGAGGGCAUAAAUCAAAGUUUAUAUGUAAGAAGAAACGCAGGUGGUAUUUACACUCUUGUAAAAACAUUACCGUGACAAAAUAUAUAUAACACAGAAGUUACCAUUCUAACCAUUGUUAUGUGUAUAGCUCAGUUACAUUGAGCACAUCCACAUCGUUGUGCGGCCACCACCACUGUCCAUCCCCAGAACUUUUUCAUCCUCCCAAACUCUGUGUCUCUAUUAAACAUUAACUCCGCAUCUCAGUAACCAC